UGUGUAGGCGGUUCUUUAAGUUUGGUGUGAAAUCUCCCGGCUUAACCGGGAGGGUGCGCCGAAUACUGAGGGACUAGAGUGCGGGAGAGGAAAGUGGAAUUCCUGGUGUAGCGGUGAAAUGCGUAGAUAUCAGGAGGAACACCGGUGGUGUAGACGGCUUUCUGGACCGUAACUGACGCUGAGACACGAAAGCGUGGGUAGCAAACAGGAUUAGAUACCCUGGUAGUCCACGCCCUAAACGAUGCAUAUUUGGUGUGGGUCAUUCAGUUGAUCCGUGCCGGAGCUAACGCGUUAAAUAUGCCGCCUGGGGAGUACAGUCGCAAGGCUGAA
rnacentral:rRNA from 1 species